rnacentral:rRNA from 1 species
GGACCCGCACAAGCGGUGGAGUAUGUGGUUUAAUUCGAUGCAACACGAAGAACCUUACCAGGGUUUGAAAUCAUUUCAAAACUCCUUGAAAAAGGAGCCUCCUUCGGGAUGAAAUGACAGGUGGUGCAUGGCUGUCGUCAGCUCGUGUUGUGAAAUGUCGAGUUAAGUCUCGUAACGAGCGCAACCCUUGUCCUUAGUUACCAGCGGGUUAAGCCGGGAACUCUAAGGAUACUGCCAGUGACAAACUGGAGGAAGGCGGGGACGACGUCAAGUCAUCAUGGCCCUUACGACCAGGGCUACACACGUGCUACAAUGGUAGGUACAGAGGGCAGCUACACAGCGAUGUGAUGCGAAUCUCAAAAAGCCUAUCGUAGUCCAGAUUGGAGUCUGCAACUCGACUCCAUGAAGUAGGAAUCGCUAGUAAUCG